UACGAAGGGGGCAAGCGUUGUUCGGAAUUACUGGGCGUAAAGGGCGCGUAGGCGGCUCUUGAAGUCGGAUGUGAAAUCCCUCGGCUUAACCAAGGAAGUGCAUCCGAAACUGGAAGGCUUGAGUACUUAAGAGGAUCGCGGAAUUCCCGGUGUAGAGGUGAAAUUCGUAGAUAUCGGGAGGAACACCAGUGGCGAAGGCGGCGAUCUGGGAAGAUACUGACGCUGAGGUGCGAAAGCGUGGGGAGCAAACAGG
rnacentral:rRNA from 1 species